AGUGAACGCUGACGGUAGGCCUAACACAUGCAAGUCGAACGGCAGCACAGGAGAGCUUGCUCUCUGGGUGGCGAGUGGCGGACGGGUGAGGAAUACAUCGGAAUCUACUUUUUCGUGGGGGAUAACGUAGGGAAACUUACGCUAAUACCGCAUACGACCUACGGGUGAAAGCAGGGGAUCUUCGGACCUUGCGCGAUUGAAUGAGCCGAUGUCGGAUUAGCUAGUUGGCGGGGUAAAGGCCCACCAAGGCGACGAUCCGUAGCUGGUCUGAGAGGAUUAUCAGCCACACUGGAACUGGGACACGGUCCAGACUCCUACGGGAGGCAGCAGUGGGGAAUAUUGGACAAUGGGCGCAAGCCUGAUCCAGCCAUACCGCGUGGGUGAAGAAGGCCUUCGGGUUGUAAAGCCCUUUUGUUGGGAAAGAAAUCCAGCUGGCUAAUACCCGGUUGGGAUGACGGUACCCAAAGAAUAAGCACCGGCUAACUUCGUGCCAGCCGCCGCCGUAA
rnacentral:rRNA from 1 species